rnacentral:rRNA from 1 species
UAGGUGGUUUGUCGCGUUGUUCGUGAAAUCUCACGGCUUAACUGUGAGCGUGCGGGCGAUACGGGCAGACUUGAGUACUGCAGGGGAGACUGGAAUUCCUGGUGUAGCGGUGGAAUGCGCAGAUAUCAGGAGGAACACCGGUGGCGAAGGCGGGUCUCUGGGCAGUAACUGACGCUGAGGAGCGAAAGCGUGGGGAGCGAACAGGAUUAGAUACCCUGGUAGUCCACGCCGUAAACGGUGGGUACUAGGUGUGGGUUUCCUUCCUUGGGAUCCGUGCCGUAGCUAACGCAUUAAGUACCCCGCCUGGGGAGUACGGCCGCAAGGCUAAAACUCAAAGAAAUUGACGGGGGCCCGCACAAGCGGCGGAGCAUGUGGAUUAAUUCGAUGCAACGCGAAGAACCUUACCUGGGUUUGACAUGCACAGGACGCCGGCAGAGAUGUCGGUUCCCUUGUGGCCUGUGUGCAGGUGGUGCAUGGCUGUCGUCAGCUCGUGUCGUGAGAUGUUGGGUUAAGUCCCGCAACGAGCGCAACCCUUGUCUCAUGUUGCCAGCGGGUAAUGCCGGGGACUCGUGAGAGACUGCCGGGGUCAACUCGGAGGAAGGUGGGGAUGACGUCAAGUCAUCAUGCCCCUUAUGUCCAGGGCUUCACACAUGCUACAAUGGCCGGUACAAAGGGCUGCGAUGCCGCGAGGUUAAGCGAAUCCUUUUAAAGCCGGUCUCAGUUCGGAUCGGGGUCUGCAACUCGACCCCGUG